CCUACGGGAGGCUGCAGUGGGGAAUAUUGGACAAUGGGGGCAACCCUGAUCCAGCCAUGCCGCGUGUGUGAAGAAGGCCCUCGGGUUGUAAAGCACUUUCAGUGAGGAAGAACGCCUGGUGGUUAAUACCCAUCAGGAAAGACAUCACUCACAGAAGAAGCACCGGCUAACUCCGUGCCAGCAGCCGCGGUAAUACGGAGGGUGCGAGCGUUAAUCGGAAUUACUGGGCGUAAAGCGCGCGUAGGUGGCUUGAUAAGCCGGUUGUGAAAGCCCCGGGCUCAACCUGGGAACGGCAUCCGGAACUGUCAAGCUAGAGUGCAGGAGAGGAAGGUAGAAUUCCCGGUGUAGCGGUGAAAUGCGUAGAGAUCGGGAGGAAUACCAGUGGCGAAGGCGGCCUUCUGGACUGACACUGACACUGAGGUGCGAAAGCGUGGGUAGCAAACAGGGUUAGAUACCCCGGUAGUC
rnacentral:rRNA from 1 species